AGCUUAUUUACUGCUACUAGCAAUGUCACUGGGUCUGUCGACUAAGGCGCUACUACAAAAGCUGGUGGUGGAAGGAGGCAUUGAAAUUCCGGAGGAGGCGGCUCAGAAAUGUAGAGACAAUGACGUAGAUGGCAAGAGAGUGGAUUGCAUACCCACAAAGAGUAUAAUAGGGUAUCUCUGACAAGUCUGACCAAAAGCUGUUAAAGUUCAGACUUCACACUCCGCUACAAGGAGGUCACCCUUAAUUUGGAAGCAGUCAAGCAUGUCAAAAGCAAUAUUAACUUCUCACCUGCAAUCCUGAAGUAGUCACUGGUCUUAACUUGUAUUAUAGGUUGUUUAAUACUGCAAAUAAAAUUUAUUUCUUUCCCCUA